UACAGUAAAGGGUAAACCUGCUGAAAGGCAGGGACACAAAGUCUCAGGUCUAAGGUAGAAAUACUAUGAUGGCUGGACUGCCUGG
rnacentral:ncRNA from 1 species